rnacentral:rRNA from 1 species
GAUGAACGCUGGCGGCGUGCCUAAUACAUGCAAGUCGAGCGAACAGACGAGGAGCUUUCUCCUCUGACGUUAGCGGCGGACGGGUGAGUAGCACGUGGAUAAGCUACCUAUAAGUCUGGUGUAACUUCGGGAAACCGGAGCUAAGAACGGAUAAGAUAUUGAACCGCAUGGUUCAAUAGUGAAAGACGGCUUUGCGGUCAACUAUGGAUGUAUCCGCUCCGCAUUAGCUAGUUGGUAAGGUUACGGCUUAACAAGGCAACGAUGCGGAGCCGACCUGAGAGGGUGAUCGGUCACCCAGGAACUGAGAGACGGUCCAGCCUCCGACGGGAGGCAGGAGUAGGAAACCUACCGCAGUGGGCGAAAGCGUGAAGGAGCAACGCGACGAGAGUGAUGAAGGUCUUCGGCUCGUAAAACUCUGUUAUGAGGGAAGAGCAAAUGUGUAAGUAACGAUGCGAGUCUGGACGGAACCGAAUCAGAAGGCCACGCCUAAUUCCGU